AUUGAACGCUGGCGGCAGGCCUAACACAUGCCAGUCGAGCGGAUGAAGGGAGCUUGCUCCUGUAUUCAGCGGCGGACGGGUGAGUAAUGCCUAUGAAUCUGCCUGGUAGUGGGGGAUAACGUCCGGAAAUGGGCGCUAAUACCGCAUACGUCCUGAGGGAGAAAGUGGGGGAUCUUCGGACCUCACGCUAUCAGAUGAGCCUAGGUCGGAUUAGCUAGUUGGUGGGGUAAAGGCCUACCAAGGCGACGAUCCGUAACUGGUCUGAGAGGAUGAUCAGUCACACUGGAACUGAGACACGGUCCAGACUCCUACGGGAGGCAGCAGUGGGGAAUAUUGGACAAUGGGCGAAAGCCUGAUCCAGCCAUGCCGCGUGUGUGAAGAAGGUCUUCGGAUUGUAAAGCACUUUAAGUUGGGAGGAAGGGAAGUAAGUUAAUACCUUGCUGUUUUGACGUUACCAACAGAAUAAGCACCGGCUAACUUCGUG
rnacentral:rRNA from 1 species